UGGGGAAUAUUGCACAAUGGGCGAAAGCCUGAUGCAGCAACGCCGCGUGAGUGAUGAAGGCCUUCGGAUUGUAAAGCUCUGUCUUUUGGGACGAUAAUGACGGUACCAAAGGAGGAAGCCACGGCUAACUACGUGCCAGCAGCCGCGGUAAUACGUAGGUGGCAAGCGUUGUCCGGAUUUACUGGGCGUAAAGGAUGCGUAGGCGGAUUUUUAAGUGAGAUGUGAAAUACCCGGGCUUAACUUGGGUGCUGCAUUUCAAACUGGGAAUCUAGAGUGCGGGAGAGGAGAAUGGAAUUCCUAGUGUAGCGGUGAAAUGCGUAGAGAUUAGGAAGAACACCAGUGGCGAAGGCGAUUCUCUGGACCGUAACUGACGCUGAGGCAUGAAAGCGUGGGUAGCAAACAGGAUUAGAUACCCUGGUAGUCCACGCCGUAAACGAUGAGUACUAGGUGUAGGAGGUAUCGACCCCUUCUGUGCCGCAGUUAACACAAUAAGUACUCCGCCUGGGAAGUACGAUCGCAAGAUU
rnacentral:rRNA from 1 species